rnacentral:rRNA from 1 species
AUAUUGGUCAAUGGGCGCAAGCCUGAACCAGCCAUCCCGCGUGCAGGAAGACGGCCCUAUGGGUUGUAAACUGCUUUUCCAGGGAGAGAAACUUGCGCACGUGUUGCGCAAUUGACGGUACCCUGGGAAUAAGCAUCGGCUAACUCCGUGCCAGCAGCCGCGGUAAUACGGAGGAUGCGAGCGUUAUCCGGAUUCAUUGGGUUUAAAGGGUGCGUAGGCGGACUAUUAAGUCAGUGGUGAAAUCCUGCAGCUUAACUGCAGAACUGCCAUUGAUACUGAUAGCCUUGAGUUUGGUUAAGGUAGGCGGAAUGUGUAAUGUAGCGGUGAAAUGCUUAGAUAUUACACAGAACACCAAUUGCGUAGGCAGCUUACUGAGCCGACACUGACGCUGAGGCACGAAAGCGUGGGGAUCGAACAGG